UUCUCCAGGUGAACUUUGCCACUGCCCUCUUGAGGAGCCAAACCAACGGGGCUUCCCGGCCUUGGACUUGAACCUCUGAAACUAUGAACUAAGCAACCCUGUUUCUUUACAGGACACCGGCAGACAUGUGUAUCCCUAAGAGCGAGUCUGGGGAACUCUGCUGAGAAAGCUGACCACUGAGAAAGGGAGAAGGAGACCCCGUCAAACAACUUGAGCUUCCUUCCACCCCUGCCUGGCCCAGCGCUCGGAGACAGCCACCAGAAAAGCAGCUGGGAGUCGGAGGUGAGUGGAGGGAAGGAAGCAGAGGACAGCCGCUCGGUCACAGCAAGACUUGGAGGCCAGACAGCCGGAAACGCACCGGGUGGUGAGCAGGUCCGCCUAUGGGAACGGACAGAUGGGCCCCAGCCCCAGCCCGCUCCUGUGGUCUUCGAGGCCAACACCUCAGGGUCAGGCGGGCAGGGCUGGUGAGAGCUACUAGGCAAAGAGCUGACUUCACGCUUCCAGUGGGAGUUCAGGGCACAGGAGGAGGGGCGAGGGCACCUUACCCUGGAAGGCAGGGAACCCUGGGGGCUGUCACCCCCACAAGGCUGGGCGUGGUUGUUGGGGUGGAAGACGUGGGGUGUGUGUGUCCCCCCCCCCCACUCUGCUUUUCAAAUAAAUAAAUGAAUAUCUUUAACAAAGUUCUCUGGGAUGGGCACUUGGCUCAGUAGCUGAGACACUUAUAUCCCGUACUGGAGUACCUGGGUUUGAUAUCAUGCAGGCCCCAGGAGGCAGUAGUGAUGGUUCAAGUCGUUGGAUUCCUGCCAUCCAUGUGGGAGACCUGGACCAAGUUCCUGGCUUCCGGCUCCUGGGUUCGGCUGUUAUAGGCAUUUGGGGGGUUAAUCAGUGAGUGGGAGCUCCCUGUCUCUCAAAUAAAUAAAUAAAAACACUCAAAUAAGUUUUCUGGAGUAAAUAAUUUUAAAGUUAGAGAAUGAAAAUGCUGUCUUGUAAGACUGUUGAUCAUUCUGGGGAGAUGGACUUGUUUCUAGCCGUACUGGAGAGGCACAGACCGGGGUUCGCCCUCCUCCCCAAGACGAUCUAACAGCCAGCACGGCUCUCGGAUGCUGUACACAGGCCGUGCAGGGCACCUCCAGCUGGAAGCACGGAAGCGAAUGGGGGCAGCGUGCAGCC